rnacentral:rRNA from 1 species
GUUAAACAUGGCAGUCGAGCGACGAAUCGAGGUACUUGUACCAGAUGAAGAGCGGCGAACGGGUGAGUAACGCGUGGGAAAUCUGCCGAGUAGCGGGGGACAACGUUUGGAAACGAACGCUAAUACCGCAUAACAAUUGGAAUCGCAUGAUUCUUAUUUAAAAGAAGCAAAAGCUUCACUACUUGAUGAUCCCGCGUUGUAUUAGCUAGUUGGUAGUGUAAAGGACUACCAAGGCGAUGAUACAUAGCCGGCCUGAGAGGGUGAACGGCCACACUGGGACUGAGACACGGCCCAGACUCCUACGGGAGGCAGCAGUAGGGAAUCUUCGGCAAUGGACGAAAGUCUGACCGAGCAACGCCGCGUGAGUGAAGAAGGUUUUCGGAUCGUAAAACUCUGUUGUUAGAGAAGAACGUUAAGUAGAGUGGAAAGUUACUUAAGUGACGGUAUCUAACCAGAAAGGGACGGCUAACUACGUGCCAGCAGCCGCGGUAAUACGUAGGUCCCGAGCGUUGUCCGGAUUUAUUGGGCGUAAAGCGAGCGCAGGUGGUUUCUUAAGUCUGAUGUAAAAGGCAGUGGCUCAACCAUUGUGUGCAUUGGAAACUGGGGAACUUGAGUGCAGGAGAGGGGAGUGGAAUUCCAUGUGUAGCGGUGAAAUGCGUAGAUAUAUGGAGGAACACCGGAGGCGAAAGCGGCUCUCUGGCCUGUAACUGACACUGAGGCUCGAAAGCGUGGGGAGCAAACAGGAUUAGA